rnacentral:misc_RNA from 1 species
UUUAGAGGAAGUAAAAGUCGUAACAAGGUUUCCGUAGCUCAAGUACGGGACAGCUCGACCGCAAGGUCGAGGUGAUCCUUCCGCGUAACACUUGCCGAAGCCUUAGCAGCCUGAAAAGGUGCAGCCCCGACGACUAUAAUCACGAAGAGGGUUGCUUAAAUGCUAGUCCGCGCACAGCGGGCGACACUAUCAAAUUGCGGGAACACCCUAAAGACCUCAACACCAAGCGAUCGCGGGAAACCGCGGCGUGGCCGAGCUAAUAGCCCUGGGUAUGGUAACAGCUUGAGGUAUGACGCCCCCUCUAGGGGUUGAAAUGGGCAAUCCGCAGCCAAGUCCUAAAGCGCCCGAGU